rnacentral:rRNA from 1 species
GACGAACGCUGGCGGCGUGCUUAACACAUGCAAGUCGAACGGAAAGGCCCUGCUUUUGUGGGGUGCUCGAGUGCCGAACGGGUGAGUAACACGUGAGUAACCUGCCCUUGACUUUGGGAUAACUUCAGGAAACUGGGGCUAUUACCCGAUAUAAACUCCUGCUGCAUGGUGGGGGUUGGUAAGUUUCGGCGUUUGGGGAUGGACUCGCGGCUUAUCAGCUUGUUGGUGGGGUAGUGGCUUACCAGGGCUUUGACGGGUAGCCGGCCUGCGAGGGUGACCGGCCCCAUUGGGACUGAGAUACGGGCCAGACGCCUACGGGAGGCAGCGGUGGGGAAUAGUGCACAAUGGGCGGAAGCCGGAUGCAGCAACUCCGGGUGCGGGAUGACGGCCUUUGGGUUGUAAACCGCUUGCGCCUGGAACGAAGCGUGAGUGACGGUAAUGGGUAAAGAAGCACCGGCUAACUACGUG